UCGAGAAUCUUCGGCAAUGGACGCAAGUCUGACCGAGCGACGCCGCGUGCGGGAUGAAGGCCUUCGGGUUGUAAACCGCUGUCAGUGGGGAGGAAGGCCGUGUGAAGAGCAUGGUUUGACCUAUCCGCAGAGGAAGUGAGGGCUAAGCUCGUGCCAGCAGCCGCGGUAAGACGAGCCUCACAAACGUUAUUCGGAAUUACUGGGCUUAAAGGGUGCGUAGGCGGCGCGGAAAGUUGGGUGUGAAAUCCCUCGGCUCAACCGAGGAACAGCGCCCAAAACUACCGUGCUCGAGGGAGAUAGAGGAAUGCGGAACUUAGGGUGGAGCGGUGAAAUGCGUUGAUAUCCUAGGGAACACCGGUGGCGAAAGCGGCAUUCUGGAUCUCUUCUGACGCUGAGGCACGAAAGCUAGGGUAGCGAACGG
rnacentral:rRNA from 1 species